rnacentral:rRNA from 1 species
CCUACGGGAGGCUGCAGUGGGGAAUUUUGCGCAAUGGGCGAAAGCCUGACGCAGCAACGCCGCGUGAGUGAUGAAGGUCUUCGGAUCGUAAAGCUCUUUCGGCCGGGACGAAACCCCCGGGGCGAAUACCCCCGGGCUUGACGGUACCGGAAGAAGAAGCACCGGCUAACUCCGUGCCAGCAGCCGCGGUAAUACGGAGGGUGCAAGCGUUGUUCGGAAUCACUGGGCGUAAAGGGCGCGUAGGCGGCUUGGUAAGUCAGAUGUGAAAGCCCACGGCUUAACUGUGGAAGUGCAUUUGAAACUGUCAGGCUUGAGUACCAGAGGGGAAAGUGGAAUUCCCGGUGUAGAGGUGAAAUUCGUAGAUAUCGGGAGGAAUACCGGUGGCGAAGGCGACUUUCUGGCUGGAUACUGACGCUGAGGCGCGAAAGCGUGGGGAGCAAACAGGAUUAGAUACCCGGGUAGUC